CUGUAAGAUUACAAAGACGACAUACAAUUUCAAAAAAACCCUAAGUUUGAAAAAUUUCCCUCGUCCAUCGCAGGACUAAUUGAAAUGUACGGUUCCCAUAAAAUCACCGAAGACGCGGAACGAACAGCGUUCCGGAGAGCGGAGAAGAAGUACAAAUUGUACUACGAUCACGAUUCUAAAUCAUCUAAAAAGAAAAAGAGACCGAGACAAGUGGAUUUGUCAGAGGUUUUAGAUUUCAGGUCAAUUUUGAACUCUUUCUAUCAGAACAGUGAACUUCCUGAUGGUAUUGUUGCAUUUCAAGGCGAUUUUGAUCGUCCUGUAUUUUGCUUGGAGACUCGCCCUGGUUUUUAUUUCAUUCCUGGAGCAUUGAGUGUUGAUGAACAAUGCCUAUGGAUAAGAGAGAGCUUGACAAGUUUCCCUCAGCCUCCUAAUAGGACAAAUCACAAUGCUAUAUAUGGUCCUAUACAUGAUUUAUUUACUGCAGCGAAGGAAAGUAAAAUGCUUAUGGAGGAUGAGAAUGCACCUUCCAGUUUGGAUUCUAAUGUGUCUGUAAGCAAUGGAGAUGCUCAUAGAUGGAAAUUUUAUGAGGAACAUGCUGCUUUAUCAAGAGGAAAGGUAUGUAAAUCCGUUACAGCCUCAAAUUUAUUGCGAAAGCUGCGCUGGAGUACCCUUGGUCUCCAAUUUGACUGGUCUAAGCGGAAUUAUAAUGUAUCUCUCCUACAUAACAAGAUCCCUGAUGCACUCUGUCAGCUGGCCAAAAGAUUGGCUGCUCCUGCAAUGCCUAGGGGAGAAGAGUUCCACCCAGAAGCUGCAAUUGUUAACUAUUUUGGAUCAGGUGAUACGCUUGGGGGUCAUUUGGAUGACAUGGAAGCUGAUUGGAGUAAGCCUAUUGUAAGCAUGAGUUUGGGCUGCAAGGCUAUUUUCCUUUUGGGAGGGAAAAGUAGGGAGGAUCCACCAUUAGCAAUGUUUCUCCAAAGUGGUGAUGUAAUGCUCAUGGCUGGAGAAGCAAGGGAAUGCUUUCACGGUGUGCCUCGGAUCUUCACAGACAAAGAAAAUGCUGAAAUCACGCCUCUUGAAUUGCAUUUCUCACAAGAAACUGAUUUCUUAGAGUAUAUUAGAACCUCAAGGAUCAACAUCAACAUCAGACAAGUUUUCUGAGCUCAGUUAUUCGUUUUCCAAAAUUUUGUAAUACUGGUUAGUAUUCAAUUUAAAGGUGGUAAUAAGGCAGAUUGAUGGAAGAUUGACACAGUUGAAGAUCUCUGAAGCACCACAAUAAAGAUUAAUUAAUCCACUACUAAAUAGAAGUGAUGUUGGAAGGAUGCAACUGACUAUGACAUCGUAAAGAAUGAAACAGAGGUCAUACGAUUGUAUUAUGGAGGGUGUUUACCAUACUCUAAUCAGGACUCAUGCAUCCCUCCAGUUGAGACUGAAGAUAUCCCAUCAGCAAAUUGUAUGAAUAUCAGCUUGAACUGAAUGGCGGCUCCAGGCCUUUAGUAGAAGAUUCCGCAGAAGUAUUUCCUUUGGUAUUUUAUUUUUCUACAAUUCAGAUACUAGGGAAAAUGCUUUGUAAUAUGAGGAAUGGGGAGAUUGCAAUUACGAACAAAAGAAACAUGCUACAAACUUAAAUUAUAGAGGAAGCUGUUUAUCAAUCAAAACCAACUCAAAUUUUAAUAAAUUAUAUAUCAAUUCAAGUUUCUGGCAAAAAAAGUAAGCUUUUUAAUGGCGUUUAUUCGAGACCUCGAAUGAAUUUGAUUUGUCAACAACUUAUUUGUUUUAAGAUAUUUCCCACAGAAAUAGAUCUAAUCCAAUUGAAUUAUGAUUUUUCCUUGGCAUAAAAAAUAAAUAAACAUCUUAAAUUUCAUCCAGGUCUAUCCACUCAAUUAGAUGGUCCACACAUGAAUCCAUAGAAAGAAAAAAUAAAAGAAAAUCAAUGCUGUGUAUAAGUUUUAUCCACAAGCCCAAUAUACUCAUAAAACAACAAGAUCUAGAGAAAUCCAGUAAUACAAGCAACAAUACCCAAUCAUUACGCAAAGAAAUAGGCAUACAGAGUAAAAUUAAUAUUCCAAAAACUAAUUAAAAACAUUAUAUAGGUAAAAGAAAUUUGAAGUAGAUUUUUUAGACAAAUUCUUAUUAUAUUUGUGAUUUAAUUAAAGAAAAACACCAUCUUCUUUGUCCACUACCAUCCAAACAUAAUUCCUGUCUCUUAGCUUCAACUCUUCAAAGGGGAAAGCCACCACCAAACACUCACGCGUCUACGUGUACAAUUCUAUUACCUCUUUAUUAAUCAACUCCGAUAUAAAAAAAAAAUAGACAGAAAAAAUAACAUACACCAGUUUAACUUCUGUAACCAGAAAAGAAUCUUUCCUUCUCUUCUCUUAUUUCAAUCUUCCAAAUCCAAACCAUCUUCUCUUUCUCUUCUCUGUCUGAUCUACCUCACACAAGAAAGAAAAAUGGGACCAAUGGUCUUGACCCAAUUGGCAACAGGUCUUAGCGUGCUAGCCGGAGCAGUUCUUGUCAAAUCGGUUA